CCUACGGGUGGCAGCAGUGGGGAAUAUUGCACAAUGGGCGCAAGCCUGAUGCAGCCAUGCCGCGUGUGUGAAGAAGGCCUUCGGGUUGUAAAGCACUUUCAGCGGGGAGGAAGGCGGUGAGGUUAAUAACCUCAUCGAUUGACGUUACCCGCAGAAGAAGCACCGGCUAACUCCGUGCCAGCAGCCGCGGUAAUACGGAGGGUGCAAGCGUUAAUCGGAAUUACUGGGCGUAAAGCGCACGCAGGCGGUCUGUCAAGUCGGAUGUGAAAUCCCCGGGCUCAACCUGGGAACUGCAUUCGAAACUGACAGGCUAGAGUCUUGUAGAGGGGGGUAGAAUUCCAGGUGUAGCGGUGAAAUGCGUAGAGAUCUGGAGGAAUACCGGUGGCGAAGGCGGCCCCCUGGACAAAGACUGACGCUCAGGUGCGAAAGCGUGGGGAGCAAACAGGAUUAGAUACCCGAGUAGUC
rnacentral:rRNA from 1 species